AUAUCAGUCACCUGGGGAUUUUGUUAAAAUGCAGAUUCCUAUUCAGUAGGUUGGAGAUGGGGCCUGAAUUCUGCAUUUCCAACAAGCUCUCAGGUGGUGAAUGC
rnacentral:pre_miRNA from 1 species